AAGUGAUCUUGAUGAAGUGAUAUGCAUUCUAUCCUCCACAUAUCCAUGCACAACCGAGCAAGAACAGCCAAUUUGUCGAAAUGGCAGCGCUAAUUCUGUCCCAUGAUAAAUGCAAUCCGGCACAAGCACGAUGGACAUGCAAUCCAGUGGACCUUUCAACAUUGCUGGACGGUGUCCUGCGUGCGAGAGCUGCCAUAAUCUGGUCUCCUAAACUAUGCCAUGAACAGAUGGAGACACUAAAUGAUCAACACUAGCAAACGUGACCUUAUGAUACGAUGCACCUUGCAGGGACCGGUUACAUGGAAAUAGUGCAAUAGUAGGGGCCAUAAAUAAAGAGGGUCCAAUUGCCACCCAAGUUGUUGGUUUUAAUAGGCUCUGCAAUGCUGUCUGGGCCUCCCUGUAUCAUGCGCGUGCUAUUCACGGCGCAGAGGAGGAGAUGCUGUGGUAAUAUGUGGUGGUCGGCCAGGAGAAACAGGCGUAC